GUGAAUUGCAGAAUCCCGCGAACCAUCGAGUCUUUGAACGCAAGUUGCGCCCGAGGCCAGCAGGCCAAGGGCACGUCCGCCUGGGCGUCAAGC
rnacentral:rRNA from 1 species